AGAAUCAACGCUGGCGGCGUGCCUAACACAUGCAAGUCGAACGAGAAAGUGGAGCAAUCCAUGAGUAAAGUGGCGCACGGGUGAGUAACACGUGACUAACCUACCCUUGAGUGGGGAAUAACUUCGGGAAACCGAGGCUAAUACCGCAUAAUACCUACGGGUCAAAGGAGCAAUUCGCUUAAGGAGGGGGUCGCGGCAGAUUAGUUAGUUGGCAGGGUAAUGGCCUACCAAGACGGUGAUCUGUAUCCGGCCUGAGAGGGCGCACGGACACACUGGAACUGAAACACGGUCCAGACUCCUACGGGAGGCAGCAGUGGGAAUUUUGCGCAAUGGGGGAAACCCUGACGCAGCAACGCCGCGUGGAGGAUGAAGUCCCUUGGGACGUAAACUCCUUUCGAUCGGGACGAUUAUGACGGUACCGGAAGAACGAAGCCCCGGCUAACUUCGUGCCAGCAGCCGC
rnacentral:rRNA from 1 species